rnacentral:lncRNA from 1 species
UGGAAGCUGUUCUUUGGAUGUCAGAUGUUUGGGUUUCCUGCUUGCUUCCCCCACCCCCACCCCCCAGUUUUGAGCCUCACUGAAUCUCAGUUAAUACCAGCUUCUGGCCUCCCCGUCUACCCUAGGCUACACUGUCCAUCUUCCAAUGCAACCAACGUCAUAGAGGCCUUUUAUGCACCGUUUAGGAUUCAGGACUCAAGUCUACUGGAUGAUGCCAUCCACUUCAAACACAUACACAGGCAAUGUCUCAGACGUGAUCUUUGAAAAGUUCUCCUGACCACCAUGGACAGCCACCAUGUUCAGCGCUCCUAUUCUGACUCUUUUUUGGCGAUAUUCAUGAUGCCUUGAAAUUCUAACCUUCUGAGUGGUGGGACCACUGCAAUCCUUUAGGCUAGCCUGGACUACAGGACAUCAAAGAGGAUAUGAUCAGAAUGCAGCCUAAGACUAAACCUGCCAACACCUUGAUUUUAGGGUCAGUCAGAACAAGAUCAAAUUCAGAAAGACAGAUGGAUAGAUAAAGGGUUUGCUGCACAGAUGGGAGGACCAGGGUUCAGAUCCCCUUUAAAGCUGGGCACAGGAGUUCACAGUUUUAACCAUGGCGCUCCUAAAGAAGAUGGAGCCAGGAGAACCCUGGGAGCUCAAGGCCAUCGAGCCUACAGAGUGCGAUGGCAAAGAGCAAAAAUAUCUUCUCCAAACUAGGUAGAAGGUGAUAGCCAACUUCCAGGGUUGUGUUCUGAGCUCCACAUGUGUGCCUUGGCAUGUGUAUGCCUUUACACACACACACACACACACACACACACACACACACACUUCCACACUCCAUACAUCAAACACAAAAGAUAAAAAGCAUUAUUUAAAAAUUAAGAUUUUUAUUGUUAAAGCCACUAGCCUGUGAUAUUUUCUUAUUGAGGUCCCCAAAAUUAAAACAAGAGCCCACAAAAAUUCCUGUGCUUCCCCUGUCUGAUCCCCUUCUUCAAGGAGGGGCCACCAACCUGAGCCACCUUGACCUCAGUCAGUGAGUGUUCUGGGCAGCAGGCACGUGAGGCUAAAGGUCAAAGGCCGUAAGUGCUGGGUGCAAUCCCUUGCUGAGCCUCUGCCCUGUGUUCCCCUUGAAGAUUUGUUUGGUCCCUGGCUGUGGGGGUUGGAGCUGGGGGGCAAAGAGCUGCUGAGAGGGUCCUGUGGAGACCCUGGACAACUUUACCAGGUUCCUCAGCUUUGAGCUCUCACUCCUUUUGCCAGUCUGGGCCCCAUUGUUUGGGUAAUGUCAGUGACAUCAACCACUGAUGAAUAUAUAUAUACGCGUGUGUGUGUGUGUAUAUAUGUAUGUGUGUAUGUGUAUAUAUAUGUGUGUGUAUAUAUAUAUGCGUGUUUUUAUAUAUAUAUAAAAACAUAUCUUCAGCUGAGCUCAGCUGGCUACAACCUGAGUGGCUUUUCCUGGAAAAGUUUAGGGCAAUAGUUCUUAAAUUCUGCCAUGUCUCACAAACACCAUGUCCUUGAGGCUUACUCAAGGAGAGCUGGCAGGGUCAUGACCAACAGUCUCUUUCAGAGGUCUGGGUAGAGCCUAGAAACUUUGCAUUUCUAACAAGCUGCCAUGUGAUACUGAUGCUGCAGCCCCAGAGAUGCUGAUGCCACAAGUCCAGACAUUGAUUGGGCAAAGGCUAAAAGGAUUCGAGGAAGAGUAGCCAUAAUGGUCCAAAGGACGUUAAAGGAUACCCAGGCAGAGCUGGGACAGGAAGUGAUAGGACUGUUAAUGUAUGAUUUGGCCAAAGGGCUCAUGUGCUGGACAACCCUACUAGUGGUUACAUAAGCCACAGGCAAGGGAUGAAAAUGGCUGUAAAGACCUUCAAUGAUCGUACUUCGGAGCCUCAGUUCUGCAGUACAGGAAUGGCCUGCACAAUGCAGUGGAUGGAUGGAGGCUUAUCAUCACAUUCGCAGGCACUGUUGGAAGCUCUGCAGAUUCCAGGGCCAUCACUGAGUUAGUAAUAAAGAACCACGUGGAAGGUUCUUUUGUCUCUGU